rnacentral:rRNA from 1 species
UGGCGGACGGGUGAGUAAUGUCUGGGAAACUGCCCGAUGGAGGGGGAUAACUACUGGAAACGGUAGCUAAUACCGCAUAACGUCGCAAGACCAAAGAGGGGGACCUUAGGGCCUCCUGCCAUUGGAUGUGCCCAGAUGGGAUUAGCUAGUAGGUGGGGUAAUGGCUCACCUAGGCGACGAUCCCUAGCUGGUCUGAGAGGAUGACCAGCCACACUGGAACUGAGACACGGUCCAG